rnacentral:lncRNA from 1 species
CUUGGUCUCUUUUGGUAAAGAUCUCUGGCAGCAUCCCAGAGGCCUCCAGCACUUUCAGGGUGAGGUUGAAAUCUGUGAACACAGGAAAAUAUUUAGGUUAAUAUUAAUAUUGUUAUGCUCCCCAGUUUCUGUGUUGUGGGUUUGUAUGUGUGUGUUUCAGGAUGGCUUCCAAGCAGCUGAUUGGUCGGCCCCCAUUGCAGAUUGGAGCUCUGACCCCGCCCUCUCAUCAGGGACCCUCUGCACACACCAACAACUGACACCCACGAAGCAUCUUUACCCAUCGCUCCACAAAAGCCAAGGGGAACAACUACUUCAAGGUCUCCGAGCGAGUGACGUCACCGAUUGAAACGCUAUUAGCACGCACCCCGCUAACUAGCUAGCCAUUUCACAUCGGUUACAUAUGCCAAAAGGACUUAGUGUUUUUGAUUAUUGAAAUUGUUCACUUUACGUUAGUAAUUAUUCUGUUUUUGUUCCCAGGGGAGAAGGGGAAGGCACCUUGGGAGUGUUUAGGCAAGAGGCCUGUGGGCAUACAUAUACCUGUAGUCUUUACUCUGUCUAUGCACACUAGGUAAGACCACCCCCUGUAUUUUGGUUAGCGCGCCAGGUGGCGUUAAGAAUAGCUAGGUAAGGUAGGCGAGGGAACUCCAACUUUCUUUGCUUUGGUUCCAUCCAGCCCCCUUUCCCCACAUUUACCGUGUUAAGGAGAAAUUCCGUUACCAGUAAUAUUCUCUGCCUCUGUGAUCCUUACCCGCACCUACAAUCACAUACCUUUCACUCCACCUACAGUCACAUACCUCUUUACCUCCAGUCACAUACCUCUUUACCUCCACCUAGUCACAUACCUCUUUCACUCCACGGGGAGUUGAGUGUAGCAGGGUGUUGCGUUCCCUCCUCCAAGAGGCGUACGUAACAUAAUGUGGGAUCAUCCGAGAUUUGAACCCGGAACUUCUCGCACCCCCAAGCGAGAAUCAUACCCCUAUAAUGACACUAUUACAAGCACACGUCCAACGAGGAGCAGUUUUACAAUGGGCAAUAAGACAGUUGACAAGUGCACUUUGAAAAUGUGCAUGCUCCGGUUUAGUUAGCCGACAAGCGUACCAAGCCAUUUUAUCUAUAAGGAGUCGCCUGUAUCGUUCCAUGUAGUGCCCUUUUAUUCCUCAGGUGUUCAGUCUCACCUUCCUCGCUGGCCUGCUGGGAUGCGAUCCUCUCAGUGAUGGUGCUGAGGCGGGAGGUGAACUCCGAGAAGAUGAAUUGUGUGCAGCCUGCCUGGUGGCACUUCCUGAAAAACUGUGAAGCCGGACUAGUAUUGGACCCAGAACCAGACGAGUCAGGAGGCCCCGAAUCCCCAGGUGACCCUGAACCACAGCUGGAGUCUGGGGAUGGAACAGAACGGGGAAGAGUCAACUCCUGAUAAGUGCACAUUGG